rnacentral:rRNA from 1 species
GAUGAACGCUGGCGGCGUGCCUAAUACAUGCAAGUCGAGCGAACGGACGAGAAGCUUGCUUCUCUGAUGUUAGCGGCGGACGGGUGAGUAACACGUGGAUAACCUACCUAUAAGACUGGGAUAACUUCGGGAAACCGGAGCUAAUACCGGAUAAUAUUUUGAACCGCAUGGUUCAAAAGUGAAAGACGGUCUUGCUGUCACUUAUAGAUGGAUCCGCGCUGCAUUAGCUAGUUGGUAAGGUAACGGCUUACCAAGGCAACGAUGCAUAGCCGACCUGAGAGGGUGAUCGGCCACACUGGAACUGAGACACGGUCCAGACUCCUACGGGAGGCAGCAGUAGGGAAUCUUCCGCAAUGGGCGAAAGCCUGACGGAGCAACGCCGCGUGAGUGAUGAAGGUCUUCGGAUCGUAAAACUCUGUUAUUAGGGAAGAACAUAUGUGUAAGUAACUGUGCACAUCUUGACGGUACCUAAUCAGAAAGCCACGGCUAACUACGUGCCAGCAGCCGCGGUAAUACGUAGGUGGCAAGCGUUAUCCGGAAUUAUUGGGCGUAAAGCGCGCGUAGGCGGUUUUUUAAGUCUGAUGUGAAAGCCCACGGCUCAACCGUGGAGGGUCAUUGGAAACUGGAAAACUUGAGUGCAGAAGAGGAAAGUGGAAUUCCAUGUGUAGCGGUGAAAUGCGCAGAGAUAUGGAGGAACACCAGUGGCGAAGGCGACUUUCUGGUCGGUAACUGACGCUGAUGUGCGAAAGCGUGGGGAUCAAACAGGAUUAGAUACCCUGGUAGUCCACGCCGUAAACGAUGAGUGCUAAGUGUUAGGGGGUUUCCGCCCCUUAGUGCUGCAGCUAACGCAUUAAGCACUCCGCCUGGGGAGUACGACCGCAAGGUUGAAACUCAAAGGAAUUGACGGGGACCCGCACAAGCGGUGGAGCAUGUGGUUUAAUUCGAAGCAACGCGAAGAACCUUACCAAAUCUUGACAUCCUUUGACAACUCUAGAGAUAGAGCCUUCCCCUUCGGGGGACAAAGUGACAGGUGGCGCAUGGUUGUCGUCAGCUCGUGUCGUGAGAUGUUGGGUUAAGUCCCGCAACGAGCGCAACCCUUAAGCUUAGUUGCCAUCAUUAAGUUGGGCACUCUAAGUUGACUGCCGGUGACAAACCGGAGGAAGGUGGGGAUGACGUCAAAUCAUCAUGCCCCUUAUGAUUUGGGCUACACACGUGCUACAAUGGACAAUACAAAGGGCAGCGAAACCGCGAGGUCAAGCAAAUCCCAUAAAGUUGUUCUCAGUUCGGAUUGUAGUCUGCAACUCGACUACAUGAAGCUGGAAUCGCUAGUAAUCGUAGAUCAGCAUGCUACGGUGAAUACGUUCCCGGGUCU